rnacentral:lncRNA from 13 species
GAUGAUUACUCCAUGAUCAUUACAAAACGUUAAUGGUUUCCUGUGUCUCCACACCUCUUAGGCAUUAAAAAAAGGAUUAUUUAUUUUUAGAAUGAGUAAUUCUGGCUAGCCUGAUUUCUAGAUGACAGUAAUAUUAUUUUGUCACAAUGAAUAUCUCAACAGAAUUCCAGAUCCUGGGACUUGCUUUGGACUCAACACAUCUAUCUAGUCUUCAGCUGAUAUCUACCUCCUGACUAAUGAAUCUCCCUGGCCCCUGGACUUUUAACCUGAAACACAGCCUAAAACAGGUGGGGAUUACAGUUCGAGAUGAGGUUUGAGUGGAGACACAGAGCCAAACCAUAUCAUCAUCCAUCAGGUAAAAAUGUUGAGCAGCUGAACAGAAUCCCAACAUAAGUUUGGGAUCAUGAACCCAUGACA